CGAAGGGUGCAAGCGUUACUCGGAAUUACUGGGCGUAAAGCGUGCGUAGGUGGUUCGUUAAGUCUGAUGUGAAAGCCCCGGGCUCAACCUGGGAACUGCAUUGGAUACUGGCGAUCUGGAGUGCGGUAGAGGGUGGCGGAAUUCCCGGUGUAGCAGUGAAAUGCGUAGAUAUCGGGAGGAACAUCCGUGGCGAAGGCGGCCACCUGGACCAGCACUGACACUGAGGCACGAAAGCGUGGGGGAGCAAACAGGAUU
rnacentral:rRNA from 1 species